GAUGAACGCUGGCGGCGUGCCUAACACAUGCAAGUCGAACGAAGCACCUUACCUGAUUCUUCGGAUGAAGGUCUGGUGACUGAGUGGCGGACGGGUGAGUAACGCGUGGGUAACCUGCCCUGUACAGGGGGAUAACAGUUGGAAACGGCUGCUAAUACCGCAUAAGCGCACGAGAGGACAUCCUCUUGUGUGAAAAACUCCGGUGGUACAGGAUGGGCCCGCGUCUGAUUAGCUGGUUGGCAGGGUAACGGCCUACCAAGGCGACGAUUAGUAGCCGGUCUGAGAGGAUGAACGGCCACAUUGGAACUGAGACACGGUCCAAACUCCUACGGGAGGCAGCAGUGGGGAAUAUUGCACAAUGGGGGAAACCCUGAUGCAGCAACGCCGCGUGAGUGAAGAAGUAUUUCGGUAUGUAAAGCUCUAUCAGCAGGGAAGAUAAUGACGGUACCUGACUAAGAAGCUCCGGCUAAAUACGUGCCAGCCGCCGCAGUAA
rnacentral:rRNA from 1 species